rnacentral:rRNA from 1 species
AUUGAACGCUGGCGGCAUGCCUUACACAUGCAAGUCGAACGGCAGCGGACCUUCGGGUGCCGGCGAGUGGCGAACGGGUGAGUAAUAUAUCGGAACGUACCUUUCAGUGGGGGAUAACGUAGCGAAAGUUACGCUAAUACCGCAUAUUCUGUGAGCAGGAAAGCAGGGGAUCGCAAGACCUUGCGCUGAUUGAGCGGCCGAUAUCAGAUUAGCUAGUUGGUGAGGUAAGGCUCACCAAGGCGACGAUCUGUAGCGGGUCUGAGAGGAUAAUCAGCCACACCGGAACUGAGACACGGUCCGGACUCCUACGGGAGGCAGCAGUGGGGGAAUAUUAGCGCAAUGGGCGAAAGCCUGACGCAGCCAUACCGCGUGUGUGAAGAAGGCCU